AGCAGCCGCGGUAAUUCCAGCUCCAAUAGCGUAUAUUAAAGUUGUUGCAGUUAAAAAGCUCGUAGUCGAACUUCGGCUUCUGUCUGCCGGUCCGCCUUUUUGGGGUGUGCUGGGCUUGACUGAUACUUACCUCUUGAUGGGUCGGCUUGCCCUUCGUUGGGUGUGUCAAUUAACCACUACUUUUACUUUGAGAAAAUUAGAGUGUUCAAAGCUUGCUUUCGACCGAAUACAUUAGCAUGGAAUAAUAAAAAAGGAGGCCCGGCUUUGUUUUGUUGGGAUCCAACUUCGCGAUAAUGAUUAAUAGGUAGAGUCGGGGGCAUUCGUAUUGCUUGGGCGAAGGUGAAGUUCUUGGAUUCUACUAAGACGAGCUACUGCGAAAGCCUUUGACGAGGAUGUUUUCCUUAAUCAAGAACUAAGGUAACGGGAACGAACACAAUCCGAUACCGUCUUAAUCUUAACCUUAGACUAUGACGACUAGGAAUAGGACGAUGUUACUUUUAUAAUGA
rnacentral:rRNA from 1 species